GUUGCCAUUCCAUUUAAAAUUGGGUGGUUCUAGUUGGACCUCUAAAUUUGAUAUUUGGACCUCCAUCUUUUUUCAAUUAUCAAUAGAGACUUUGUCAACUCAUAUGAAAAGACAAAUAAGGACAAAGAGAGAGAAAAAAAAAUCAAAUACUAUUCUUACCUCCCUCAUUAAUAUAACAUUCAAUUUUCUUUUGGACAAUCGCAUUAAUAUAACAUUCAAACUUUUUUGGAAUUUCCUUAUAUAACUUUAUAAUUUACCUAAAAUAAUUAAAUAUAAAUAAUUAAUUUAUAUAUAUGGCAUUAUCAUUUAAUACAAAAGUAAAUCAAAAAAAUUUGAUUUGGAUUUUCCUUUAACAAAUAUUUUGGUGUAGCUAUUACUAAAUUAUUUGAGAACCAAAAGUCUUUUUUUUUAAAGGACCAAAAGUCUUUUUUACAAUCAUCCAUAUUGCAAAAAAAAAAAAAAAAAAGCCUAUGAUACGGAUUAAAAGAAAAAUAUUUAUAAUUGUCUAGUUGUUCGGCCUCUCCAAGAAUCACUUUCUGGUUCCGUCCCUGAAAGUACACAAAAAAUGUAAGCAGCUCCCCUCACAAAAUUUUUCUUGGUUGAAUUGAUAAGAGAUUAAAAAAAAAAAACAAAUUGUUGAAAAUAUAGAUUUAAUUGUUCAAGGGUGUUUUGGUAAAAUUAAGGAGGUGUACUUAGCUUUUUAAGUAUUCAAAAAAAUGAAUUAGAGGUUUAAUAUAAGAGGUCCAAAUAUCAAAUUUGGAGGUCCAACUAGAAUCACUCUUUAAAAUUUCAUUCAGGCGUGUAAUUGUGAGGAAGCUUUUGGAAAUGUAUGAUGAAAAAAGAGAGGUUGAAGUUAGAAUUAUGCAAUCACAUAGUCUGUCUCACAAUUGAUAUAUUGACAUUGGUUUGGUUAAAAUGUCAACUACAUGGUGGUGAAAACACAUGUUAUUGAUUUUGGAUGGAGAAUGCACAAAAGAAUCUUAAAUUUUUGUAUCAUUCCCAACCACCAAGGCACAACUAUAGGAAAAAUAUUAUUUGGUCUAUUAAUGGAAGAUAGAUAAGGUGUUGACAGGCGAAGGUUGGUAACCCUAUUGGUGACAUGUUGGUAUUUUUGUAUGUCGAUAAAGCCAAUGUGCAUCUUAUGUGUUUGAGUUCAGGUGAAUAGUGAUAUGUGUUAGUGUUACAAGUUAUGGCAAUAGAGCCUUCAAGCUUUUGCCGAUACUCAAUAGUGUUAGAGGAGGUGCUUUUUGCCCUAUGUGUGCUUAUAUUAGUGGAGAGUCACACCAGAUCAAUUAUGUGACGGGAUCACUGAGACUCUUUUCAUUACCUUGUUGUUAACUUUCGAUGCUCUUAAUUUGUAUAGAGGAGGGAAACUCAGCUUUUGGCCAGAAGCGAUUCUCUAAACCGCGGAAAUAUGGAAGCAAAUAGCAGCUUUUGAUUUUUGCUUCUGCGGGAAUCAAGUUAAGAACGCGGAAGACUUAAUGAAACAUAUGAAUUGCCCAGAUUUUCCUCGUGCUUUUAUGAUUUUUACAUUGACAGGUCCUUUGUUCUGUCACACUCUUCCUUCGCCAACAUCCUCUCCUUUUCUCUGUGACCGUCUCACCAAUUCUUCUCUUCCCUUAGCAAUGGGUGACGCUUUUUGGGGGAUUCUGAUCUGGAUCGUAAUGAUUUAUAGCUUAGUCUGAUCUCAGACAUUCGAUCUUACUUGCAACUAUCGACGGAUCACCAUGCCGGCUGUACGCCUCUCAUCCUCCAUUCCAGGUUUCACACACUUGUAGACAAGAUGAGCCAGAUGGUCAUUCUUAUUCAAUUAUAUGUAUUUGCAAUUCUUAUUUGGCCUUUUUUUUCUUUUGGAAUUUGGCUUUUGGUCUGAAUUUUUGCAAAAUUACAGCACAAGUUCUUGAAUGCUUUGUUCUCUGGCUUAUACUGUGUUGAUUCUAUGCUCUUUUACACGGUCUUUUUUUUUUUUUUUUUUUUCUUCCUUUGUUUGGUUGGGUAUUCUCCCUUUAAUGGUUAUCUUUAUUGGUGUGAUUGCUCUUACAUUAGAAGCUAUUUUUCAUAAUAUUAUUAGGUGCUAAUGAUGUUUUGAUGAUCCAAAUGGUUGAUGUAGGAGUUGGGAUCAGUGGCCAAGAGGCUCGAGUGCUCGACAAGCUGUCAUAGUUUCAGAUUUUGCAAUGGAGCAGUUCGGAUUCUUAGUUCCUUUCUAGUUGGUAUUGGAAUUACCAGCAAGUGACACAUUUGAAUUGAAGCUAGAAGGUUGAAGAUGGCCAAAUUUGUAUCUACUUUAAGUCGAACCAAUUGUAUAUGAUAUUCUUGAUGUUCGACUUGCACCCGCCACUUAUAACAGGAACAAUGAAAGAAGAAUCAGUAUGAAUAAUUAUUAUGGUUGCUUCUAUUUUGAUGUGGGUGUGUGCAGUCUUAUAUUCAACUAUGAUCCAAUAAUUGAGAAUCUCUGUGACUUGGACUGUGAUAUCUGGCAACCCUACCAAAUAACGAAGGGAAAAUGCUACCAAAUUGGAAGAGGCCCCAUUCUAGUAUGAUGCUAAUCUCUUUGGGGCUCACUCUAUUUGUCUUCUUUGAGAAAUCCAGAAGUAAAGAGGGUCUAAACAGUGUGAUAUAAGAACCAAUCAUGGAGCAAGUAUCAGAGAAAAGAUUUCCUUUGGAUGCAAAAGAGUACAAGUUAUAUGAAGAAGUGGGUGAAGGUGUUAGUGCUAGUGUGUACAUAGCACUCUGCGUACCACUUAAUGAGAUAGUAGCUAUCAAGGUUCUUGAUCUGGAAAAAUGCAAUAAUGACCUGGUCAAUGUCCAGGAUUCUUGCUUCAUAUGACUAAUUCGAUGGACGACCAGUACCAAGAGGAUAUGCUCUAUAAAGUAGUUGCUAGAGUUUAUAAUGUUGGCUGAAUUUUCAUGUUAUUUAGACCACCUCGUAGUCUUACAAUACUCCUUUUCCUUUCUUACUAAUUUUAUGAGGUGAUGUUUAGAUUUUAGAUUUUCGUAUAUGACUCUCUGAUUGUAUUAUCUUGCAAUUGUGAGAUCUCAAAUUUUCAACUUAUCAAUGUAUAAAAGCUUUCACU